UACAGAGGGGGCAAGCGUUAUUCGGAAUUAUUGGGCGUAAAGGGCGCGUAGGCGGCUUGGCAAGUGGAUGGUGAAAUCCCUCGGCUUAACCGAGGAACGGCCGUCCAAACUGCUUCGCUUGAGACCGGGAGAGGUGAGUGGAAUUCCCAGUGUAGCGGUGAAAUGCGUAGAUAUUGGGAGGAACACCAGUGGCGAAGGCGGCUCACUGGACCGGUACUGACGCUGAAGCGCGAAAGCGUGGGAGCAAACGGGG
rnacentral:rRNA from 1 species